UGAAAGUUAUAUAGAAAUUUUAGACCAGUUUAUGUUCCUUUCUUCUCCAUGUACAUAUUUUUAAAACUUUGGAAGGCAUAUAUAUUCAGUUGUCUUGCUCUUAAAAUAAUUUUCUGGCAUGUUCCCUCAUAGUCUCAUGUGUUGAUGACAGGAUACAAUAUCUGAAAAUUUUGAAUAUAAAUAUAUCAAAAUUAGUCAAGAAAGCAACAAAAUGUGGAGUCUAUAUGUUCAAUAUUUCACAUUUAUUUAGAUAGAAACCACUUUCAUUCAUUAUAAACUAUAUGUUUCUCUACAACUCUAUAUCGGUCGGUAAAAUAUAACUACGACUCAUAGGUGUAGUAGAGCACAACUGCACAUUGUUUUGUAAAAUAUAAAGCAUAGUUAAUGACCAACUAUUGAACUACUCUGAGAUUACUCUUCUUCUGCUAGAAUAAAUGGUCCAGAGUGAUAGCUAAUGACCAGUUUUCCCGAUCAUUUGUGUUUAUCAUUAUUAGUUCACUUAUAUUAAGGCUUGCUGGAUAAUAUCAUAAUCAAGUUUGGUAUGACUUCUCUAGGUACUUUCUCAGAACCAAGACAUUGUUGCACAUUGGCAUUGUCCAUUCCAUAACUUAAGUAUUUGAACCUACCAUGGCAAAGAAUUGUAUAUGAAAUACUGAAAUUGUAGAACAUGAUUGCUGGAGCAGUGGAAAUGGAGGGAGGUAUCUUGGUUGUAUCCGCUCCAGAUGGGCCAAUGCCUCAAACAAAGGAACAUAUUCUACUUGCUCGUCAGGUUUCACGCCUUGUCUUUGAUGUUCAGAUUUUUGUAAAAACAGGAUAAUGUUUUAAAUCUUUUAAGUAUCCAAUUUUGGUCGAAUUAUAUAAAUGAAGCUGUAUAUAGAUUAAACUUGAUGCUAUUAUAUGGAAGCCUCAGCAAAUUACGAACCCUGCAUACUUUGAGCUCGAUGAACCUGAUUUUGAGCCUAUUGCUGCUAUUGGCAUUGAAAUUCGAACAAAUUCAAGAUGUUAUAUUGUUUGAUAAUAUAUUGAUAGCAAAUGACGAAAAGGUUGCAGAAUCAUACAGACAGACCGCAUGGAAGCCAAAAUUUGAUGUUAAGAAAGGGAAACAGAAGGCCGAGGAAGAAACAAGCUGUGUUUCAGAUAGUCUGAAAGGUUUUCAGGUAAUUAAUCUAUUUAGUGUUUUGCAUUUCUUUUUUUCUUUAGGUGUAGAUUCUCGUGGCUUAUUCCUUUAGGUGUAAUAUCAUGACCAACUCUACAAGACUGCAGAGUGCAGACAUUCAUGUCUUGCAGAAUCACAAAUUCAAAAUUUUGGAUCUCAUUGAGAAAGCAGAAAGGCAACCAAACAUUACAAUUGGUGUGCUUGUAUCCAUUGUCGUGGUUAUUUUCACUGCUUUGAUAAAACUUCUAUUCGGCCGAGAGAAACCUGAGUUUAUAAACUUUUCUAUAGUAGUUUAGUGCUUCUAUUUAAUUUGGAGAUUUCUCACUACCGGGCAACUUGUACAUGAUUACAGGCAACACCAAAGGUCAGUGUAAAACCGGAGAAGGAAGAAGUAACCGAGGCCUCAAACAAUGGGGAGGAUAGUAGUGAGGAGAAAGAACGGAACGAGGACACAACAGCAGCACCUCGUAGGAGGACCAGGCUUGAAGAUUAGAAUGGAUGAAAAUUUGAUGCCCUCUUGAGGUGGUCUAUAGUUUGGCUUCUGUAAGACUCCUCCAGAUUUUUAUAGUAUUGCUGUUACUAAUUUUUUGCCUUGAUAACGGAUAUGCAGCGAGUUUUUACCCGUUAAAUUUAUAAUGUUAAAUAAUGUAAUGUAAAUGAGAUCUUAUCUAAUAGGAUAUUGUAAUGGUUCCCCUCCGCCAUGAAAUUAUUGUAAAAUUUCUUGUCAAAAGUUGUUUGUUGCUGGCCAACAGGGGUUUAUGCAUAAGUUGAGGGGGGCAUUUGGUGCACAUAGGGGUGGAUUAAUUGAGGAUAAAUUCUGCAGAGGUGUGGGCUCAGGGGGCAUUCAUAUGUGGUGUUCCAAUAUAUGUGGAAUUGUUAUUUCUUAAAGUAGUCUGCAGGGUUUUUAAAAUGUGGAAAUUUCUGUGUUGCUUCCUAAGAAAUUUGCUUGUAAGGUCUGAUCUCGGAGAUUGUUCUUUGUCUAAGUGGUGAGGUUGUUUUGAGGUUUUAAAUUUCAGAGGCGUU